GGAUGGCGGAUUCUCCGCGGGAGUGGAUGGAUGGGCGAGUUGUGAGUUAUCAGGGGCGGGCAGGCAGGCUCGUGGCUCUACUACCCUCGGCGAGAGCGGCGAGGGGCUGCGAGGGACGAAAGCGUGGUAGUUCUGGCCUGGUGCUACCCGCACCGAAUGGUUGGGGGUGGGUUGGGGUGAUCGAUAUGCCGUGCCGUCGCCAGUGCCACACACCGGGCGUGUACACUGUGCUUCAGCGAUGACGUGGAGACGGUUGUCGAGGGGGUGCGAUUUUCGCAGAAAGGAGGGAGGAAGGCGUAGCUUUCUCCGACUAAUCUACCGGUGCAGGCGGAAUCCGUUGGAAAUUAACACGAACGUUGAUGUGACGUGACGUGAUAUGAGGUGACACGAUAAGAUAAAAAAAAGGAAAAUGGAAAAAUAUGAGAUACGAGAGAGGAGGAACUACCAUCACCAUGUGAUAUAAAUUACAUAUGGAUUACAUAUGUCCGACAGUCCAUUCGACGCCACACUCGACCCAAUGUCAUCGAUGAUUAUGCGCGAGCAUCCUCUGGAACAUCAUCUCCAACGACUCCAACAUCGCCGACGUCGACGUCGACGUUCGAUUUGAACAGCAUCGCGCGAUCGAAACUAGAUGACACAAGACGAGAAACUCGAUUAAUCGCGUGCGUAGUAAUUAGCAGUCUGUUCGACACUACCGAUAACGCGAUUCACACCGCCACGACAAAUUUUUCGCGAACAACGUAAUUUCGUUAUUCCGUUACACUUCGUGAGACAUUAGUACAACAUUUUGAAAGAUCACAGUGCAAAUAUUGCCGCUAGUCUCAAUAACGAAAACAUCAAAAUCGACACUAUUUUCCGAUUCGACCAACAACCCACGAUCGAAUCGUGUAAAACACGUAUUUUGAUUAAUCGCGCUUAUUAAUUAGCGCUAGGCAAUCUUCACUGACGGGGAACUUCCUUCGGUGUUUCGGAUUAACGUGUAUUUACUAUCGCGAUGCAAUGUUCACGUACGAGAUCAUGAAAAUUUUGCAGGACAUUACUUACUCGAAUUUCAGGAGAUCGUGGAGUAAACAUAGUUGCUGAUUGCGAACGCGAUCCACCUGACGACUCAUCAGCUUCAAAGCGGUUGAUAUACGAUUCGUCUGUACUAACGAUACAUGUAUUAAUAUCGUCAUAUAUGCUACUAAUUAUAAACGUUUCGAAGUAUCUAGUGA